UUAGUUUGUAAGUCUGAUCUGUGUAAGCGAAAUCUAAUCAACAUGGGACUUAUUCCGAUUUCGAUCUACCGAUCACCCGUUGCGAUUUUACUUGACCAAAUUAUCACCCCAGCGACGAAAAUCAGAAGUCUUUUGUCUCGUCCAAAGCCAGUAGGAGGCAGUCCUGAUACCAAACCUGCUACUGCCGCUUCAGGACAAUCGAAAUUGCCCUCUACCAGAUCAUCAUAGAUGUAACCAUGAGCAUCUCAUCAUAGUUUCUAAUGUUGAACUUAUAACAUAGCACAUAAUUUAGCAUUUUAUUGUAAGG